CUGAAUGAUAAAAACCUGAUGAUAUUUAACGCACAAUUAUUUUAGAAAACGUUUAUCUGAAUGAAGAAUUGGAUGCAUUAAAAAUGAGGUUGAAUGUAUCAACUAUUUUGUCAUAUAUCUGUUUCGGACUUUUAUUAGAUGUAGAUACACAAAGUUCAGGGGAUGCUGAAAUAAAGGAUGCAGAUCACUUGACAAGCAUUCAGUUAGAAGUGGACACAUUGAAAAACAAUUUCCACCAACUUCUUUUGAAAGUUCAACAUGACGAAGAUGAAAUAGAUUUUCUGAAAAAACAAAAUCACGAUUUAAAACAAACGCUUAAUAACACUGUUACAAAGAUGGAGGCAUUACUUAAUGAAGAUGAAUACUUUACUCAAAACAUACAGGUUUUACAUAAUGUUACUUUACAACACCAACGUGAGUUAUAUCAGAUAAAAUCAAAGUUAACAGAAUCAGAGAUUACCGUGAGUUCGUCUUUGAUUUUUUUUAAUAAUUCAUUACAAGAACUAAUGAAUUCCACAUGCAAAGUUUCAAAUGAACAUGACUUGCUUAAUAGCAGAGAAGACAAGCAGAAGUUUGAAAAAGGGAUUAAAAACGAGACGGUUAAAACAGUUUGCAAAAUAGUAACUGAAUUAGAAUCACAGACAGAUCAGUUUCUGUCAAACCUAACAUUGCUGUCUUCUAAGAUAGAAAAGACUUUUUCAGUUGUGGAAGACCUGAAAGCUGAUGAAGCUGCAAUGGAGUCAUAUAUGAAGAAUGUGUCGUUCAACAAUAUAUUGAUAACAUCUAAAUUACAAAAAAUGACUGAGGAUGUAAUGGAAGCAACAACAAGAGUUACAAAACUAGAAUCAUCGACAGAUAAGUUGCUGUCAAAUCUAACAUUGAUGUCAUCUAAGAUAGACAAGACUUUGAAAAGUGUGGGAGAAAUAAAAUCAGAUGCGCUUUUGAAGUGCCGAUCAGAAAAGUUUACUUGUGCAAAACAGUUCCAGUGUAUACCUGCCUCAAUGAAAUGUGAUGGUUUUGCAGACUGUUCCGAUAAAACCGACGAAGAAGGGUGUGUAGAUGGAAAAUGGAGUGGUUGGAUAGAAAAACCCUGUAGCGUAACAUGUGGUGUGGGUAGCCGUUUACGUUAUCGCGAAUGUUCUUAUCCAUAUCCUCAACAUGACGGAAAAAGCUGUACAGGAAGUAGUACUGAGCAUGUCACAUGCAUGCAACAUAAACCCUGUCCAGUUCAUGGACAAUGGACUGUUUGGAGCGAAAACACCUGCAGUGUAACGUGUGGUGUUGGAACCGGUUUACGGUCUCGCAACUGUUCCAAUCCACAUCCUCAAUAUUAUGGAAACAACUGUACAGGAAACAGUAUUGAGCAUGUCACAUGUAUACAGCCUAACCAAUGUCCAGUUGAUGGUGAAUGGAGUGCUUGGAAGGAAACAAGCUGUAGCGUUACAUGUGGUAAUGGUACCAUUUUACAGUUUCGCGAAUGCUCUCAUCCUAAAUAUGGCGGUAAAAAAUGCCUAGGAGCAAAAACUAUGACUGUUACAUGCACACAAUCCAGGUGCUGUCCAGUUGCAACAUAUUUAAAUUUGAAAAGCAUUGGCUAAAAGACUCAUCAAAGACUCGAAAUUACUAAAGGGGCAUUCAAACUCAUCAAUCGAAAGCAAAUAAGCUGCGAAUGUCAUGGCAAAAAAAAAAUCGAAAAUACCACGAAAAGACCAACAACAGUACACCAAAAAUAAAGAGAGAACACUUGAGACUGAAAUACUAAGUUAUUGCAAGGAAACGACUUCCAUCUAGUAAAAUGCCAUUUUCCAAUCUAUCAACAAUCAUAAAUGCUGAAAGAGAAUAGCUUUGACUGCUAUGGAGGCUGGGAGAGAUUGGAAAAUUUUGGUGCAUGUUAUUGCUUCAGUAAGAAAUUGAUGUCAUGGUACGAUGCAAAGCUGCAAUGCAGACGACAGAACGGAUGGCUUGCAGAUAUUUAUUCUGAAAGUGAAGCCAAAUGGCUGGGUGAACAUACUCAUUUUAUUUCAGGAAGAAGUGUCUGGAUUGGUGGAAAAAGAAACAGUAAUGGAAUAUACGAAUGGGUUACUUCCUUUAUGGAGACACGACCCAUGACAUACUCGCGAUGGGCACCAGCAGAGCCACGUCCUCAAAGUCCUUUAAAAUGUGUUCAAUUAUGGGCAGAACAUAAUUACCAAUGGGAUGAUUAUGAUUGUUAUAAGGAACUUAAUUUCAUUUGCAAGAUACAUAUAUGACAAUGUGUUCGCUGUAAUGGUUGUUUCCUUCAUUGCAAAUUAAUGUGUUAAGCCAACGAUAUAUUUUUAGAAAUAGCAGUGUAUAGUUUGGACAAAUGUCUGUUAAAUCAAACUCUUUUUAUUGAAUACUUUGACACAAAAUCUAAUUAAAAGAAUUUGCAUUUUAAAUUCAUUUUAGAUAUACUUGAAAAUCUUUUACUUCAGUUGAAUAAAAUAUAAUAAGAAAGUAUUGAAAUACUGUACGAACAAUUUGUUUUUAGAGACAAAAUGUUAUAACAAUUAUUAUUGGAAAUGUAUGCAUUAUUAUUUGUGUUUGUUUCCUUAUGGUCGAAAAGAUAAUAGGAAAUAUCAUACUUUUGUGAAAUUUCAGUAUUUGAUUAAAAUCUAGUAACAACGUU